rnacentral:rRNA from 1 species
AUGGAGUUCCCCUCUUCUUCUUCCCUGCUACUCAUCCUGCUUCCUCCCGUGCUGUACAUCUCCUACCACAUCGCGAGGAGCCUCGCCAAGAAGAAGCCCACCACCCACGGCCUCAGGAGGCACCCGCUGCUCGGCCACCUCCCGGCGUUCCUCAAGAACCGCGACCGCUUCCUCGAGUGGUCCACCGAGCUCAUCGUCGCCAGCCCCGACCUCAGGAUGGGCUUCUGGAUCCCCGGGAUGACCACCGGCAUCGUCACCGGCAACCCGGCCGACGUCGAGCACAUCCUGCGCACCAACUUCGCCAACUACCCCAAGGGCGAGCGCGCCAUCUCCAUGCUGGUGGACUUCCUCGGCCACGGCCUCUUCAACUCCGACGGGGAGCAGUGGCUGUGGCAGCGCAAGAACGCCAGCCUCGAGUUCACCACGCGCUCGCUCCGCGGCUUCCUCGUCGACUCCGUGCAGGCCGAGGUCGGGAACAGGCUGCUCCCGCUACUGCGACGCGCCGCGGAUGGCGCCGGCGCCGGCGGCGUGGUGCUCGACAUGCAGGACGUGCUCGAGCGGUUCGCGUUCGACACCAUCUGCAUGGUCUCGUUCGGGCACGACCCGUGCUGCCUCGCCGACGGCGGGGCCCUGACGGAGGGGGCGUCGGACUUCAUGCGCGCGUUCGGCGAGGCGCAGGACCUCAUUGUCAGCCGGUUCCUGGACCCCGUCGCGGCCUCCUGGAAGGUCAAGAGGUGGCUCAACGUCGGCAAAGAGCGCCGCCUAAAGAAGGCCAUCGCCGACGUCCAUGGGUUCGCCAUGGAAAUUGUCCGCACCCGCCGUCAAAGCGCGUCUGGGGAAGAAAACAGAGACGACGUCCUGUCAAGGUUCGUGGCGAGCGACGAACACGACGACGAGGCGCUCCGGGACAUCGUCCUCAGCUUCCUGAUCGCCGGCCGCGAGACCACGUCCUCGGCGCUCACGUGGUUCUUCUGGCUCGUGUCGUCCCGGCCGGACGUCGUGGCGCGCAUCGCCGACGAGGUCCGCUCGGUCCGGUCCAUGGCAGGCACUCGCCCCGGCGACCCGUUCACGUUCGACGCGCUCCGGGACAUGCAGUACCUGCACGCCGCGCUCACCGAGUCGAUGCGGCUCUACCCGCCGGUGCCCAUCGACUCCCAGUCAAGCGCGGCGGACGACACGCUCCCCGACGGCACGCACAUUGGCGCCGGCUGGAACAUCACGUACAGCGCGUACGCCAUGGCGCGGCUCGCGGCUAUAUGGGGCAAGGACUGCGCCGAGUUCAAGCCGGAGCGGUGGCUCGGCGACGAUGGCGCGUUCCGACCGGAGAGCCCGUUCCGGUACACGGUGUUCCAUGCCGGGCCGAGGACGUGCCUCGGGAAGGAGAUGGCUUACGUGCAGAUGAAGUCGAUCGCUGCCAGUGUGCUCGAAGAAUUCGCGGUGGACGUCGUCCGCAAGAACGCCGGCAGCGGCGUGCCGGAGCACGUGCUUUCGGUGACGCUCAGGAUGAAGGGCGGAUUCCCUGUGCAAAUAAGGAGGGUGGAAGCGUAG